rnacentral:lncRNA from 1 species
GUCACCUUCCACGCUGUGAAAGCUUUAUUCUUUUGCUCUUUGCAAUAAAUCUUGCUACUGCUCAGUCUUUGGGUCCACGCUGCUUUUAUGAGCUGUAACACUCACUGGAAAGUCUGCAGCUUCAUUCCUGAAGCCAGCAAGACCGCGAGCCCCCCGGGGGAGGAAUGAACAACUCCAGAGACGCCACUUUAAGAGCUGUAACACUCACCGUGAAGGUCUGCAGCUUCACUCCUGAGCCAGCGAGACCACGAACCCACCAGAAGGAAGAAACUCCGAACACAUCCGAACGUCAGAAGGAACAAACUCCAGACGCGCCCCCUUAAGAGCUGUAACACUCACCGCGAGGGUCUGCGGCGUCAGUCUUGAAGUCAGUGAGACCAAGAACCCACCAAUUCGGGACACAUAGAGCUGUUGAAAUGCAUCUCGGGCCAGCCCUUCCAUGGAAUGCUGUACCUACCCCACAAAAAGAGAACCAGGAAGUUCUCCAGGCAAAAAUAUGAAAAGUUCUCCAGCAAAUGUUGUCAAGUAUAAGAAGACACGAAACUGUGUAUGCCAUAUGUUAGCAUUUGUAUAUAUCCAAGAUAUUUCUAGAAUGAUGCAAAAAAGAAAUUUUUAACAGUGGUGGCUCUGGAGAAAAGAAAUGAGUGAAGGAUGGUGGGGAGAGGGACAGAAAAGUGGGAGGAAAAUUUAAU